rnacentral:RNase_P_RNA from 1 species
CCAGAGGGUCGGAUGGCCGCGGGCAGCGCUUGUCGCUGCGCGAGGAAAGUCCGGGCUCCAUGGAACAGGAUGGCGGGUAAUGCCCGCCCGGAGCAAUCCGAGGGAAAGUGCCACAGAGAGCAGACCGCCUGCCUUGUCUUUGACGGCGGGUAAGGGUGAAAGGGUGCGGUAAGAGCGCACCGCGAUGCUGGUAACAGCAUUGGCAGGGUAAACCCCAUCCGGAGCAAAACCAAAUAGGGGUGAUGCGCGGCUUUGGCCGCAGGCGCGUUCCACGCUGAAUCAUCCGGGUAGGUUGCUUGAGCGCUAUGGCAACAUAGUGCCUAGAUGAAUGGUC